AUUGAACGCUGGCGGCAUGCUUUACACAUGCAAGUCGAGCGGCAGCGCGGGGCUCAGGCAACUGAGCCCUGGCGGCGAGCGGCGGACGGGUGAGUAAUGCAUCGGAACGUAUCCCGUAGUGGGGGACAACCCAGCGAAAGCUGGGCUAAUACCGCAUAUGCUCUACGGAGGAAAGCAGGGGACCUGCAAGGGCCUUGUGCUAUGGGAGCGGCCGAUGUCCGAUUAGCUAGUUGGUGGGGUAAAGGCUUACCAAGGCGACGAUCGGUAGCU
rnacentral:rRNA from 1 species